AGUGAACGCUGGCGGUAGGCCUAACACAUGCAAGUCGAACGGCAGCACAGUAAGAGCUUGCUCUUACGGGUGGCGAGUGGCGUACGGGUGAGGAAUACAUCGGAAUCUACUUUUUCGUGGGGGAUAACGUAGGGAAACUUACGCUAAUACCGCAUACGACCUACGGGUGAAAGCAGGGGAUCUUCGGACCUUGCGCGAUUGAAUGAGCCGAUGUCGGAUUUGCUAGUUGGCGGGGUAAAGGCCCACCAAGGCGACGAUCCGUAGCUGGUCUGAGAGGAUGAUAAGCCACACUGGAACUGAGACACGGUCCAGACUCCUACGGGACGCAGCAGUGGGGAAUAUUGGACAAUGGGCGCAAGCCUGAUCCAGCCAUCCCGCGUGGGUGAAGAAGGCCUUCGGGUUGUAAAGCCCUUUUGUUGGGAAAGAAAAGCAGCAGGUUAAUACCCCGCUGUUCUGACGGUACCCAAAGAAUAAGCACCGGCUAACUUCGUG
rnacentral:rRNA from 1 species